rnacentral:rRNA from 1 species
AACGAACGCUGGCGGCAUGCCUAACACAUGCAAGUCGAACGAGAUCUUCGAGUCUAGUGGCGCACGGGUGCGUAACGCGUGGGAAUCUGCCCUUUGGUUCGGAAUAACAGUUGGAAACGGCUGCUAAUACCGGAUGAUGACGAAAGUCCAAAGAUUUAUCGCCAGAGGAUGAGCCCGCGUAGGAUUAGCUAGUUGGUGUGGUAAAGGCGCACCAAGGCGACGAUCCUUAGCUGGUCUGAGAGGAUGAUCAGCCACACUGGGACUGAGACACGGCCAGACUCCUACGGGAGACAGCAGUGGGGAAUAUUGGACAAUGGGCGAAAGCCUGAUCCAGCAAUGCCGCGUGAGUGAUGAAGGCCUUAGGGUUGUAAAGCUCUUUUACCCGGGAUGAUAAUGACAGUACCGGGAGAAUAAGCUCCGGCUAACUCCGUGCCAGCAGCCGCGGUAA